GAUGAAGAACGCAGCGAAAUGCGAUAAGUAGUGUGAAUUGCAGAAUUCAGUGAAUCAUCGAAUCUUUGAACGCACAUUGCGCCCCUUGGUAUUCCAUGGGGCAUGCCUGUUCGAGCGUCAUUUGUACCUUCAAGCUCUGCUUGGUGUUGGGUGUUUGUCUCGCCUCUGCGUGUAGACUCGCCUCAAAACAAUUGGCAGCCGGCGUAUUGAUUUCGGAGCGCAGUACAUCUCGCGCUUUGCACUCAUAACGACGACGUCCAAAAGUACAUUUUUACACUCUUGACCUCGGAUCAGGUAGGGAUACCCGCUGAACGUAAGCAUAUCAAUAAGCGGAGGA
rnacentral:misc_RNA from 1 species